rnacentral:lncRNA from 1 species
AAGGCUUUCGACACAGGACAAGAAAGUAAUGACUCCUUCAAGGUAAUGUAAAGUUCAGACCACGAGCUCGAACCUACGGCCAUGGACGAUAAGAAAAGCAAAUCAACGUGGCGAUGACUGGGCACCUCCAAACGACACGGACGCCGAACAAGUCGAAAGACAAAAGAAGUUUGGUGAAUGAUGGCCUAAUACAAGAUUGAACA